AAAUUCAUUGACAUUUAUUAGUGAACUCUGUUCAACAAUUUUAUGACAAAUAUAAAUAGAGGUCCCGGACCACUUUCUUCACUAAGUCCUACCAUGGCAAAUGCACAGCUACAGGUCAAGUUCAUCCCAACUUCGAGAGGCGGCAGAUAUCUUUGUUCGGGUGGUUUCAUGUACAGAGUCAACAAAAGGAAACGUGAUGAAACCUUAGUAUGGAAGUGUACGACCAAGGAUUGCCAUAUAACAGUCACCACCAUCAGUGAUAUCCUCACCAGACCCUGCCAGAACCACAACCACCCACCAGUGGAGGCCGACAUCAAGGUGAGAGAAACCAUGGAGACACUAAAAGAAAAAGCCAAGGCCACGAUCAGACCUCUGCCGCAGCUGUUCCAGGAAGAAGUAGACAGUAUGCGGGGCGAUGACUGGACACCGGAACACGCCACCCUGGUUGGCAACUUACCUACGUUUCAUAUGAAGAAGGACACCCUGUAUUGAGCAAGGAAGAAGUCAUUUCCUCCUCUACCAUCCCAUCGUCGUGACCUAGUAAUCCCUGAACAGUACCAAACAACAGAAGGCGGGGAACAGUUCCUGGCAUUUGAAGAUGGGGACGAGGACAAGAUCCUGGGAUUUGCCACCACAUCCAACUUGGAGAAGUUGUGUCAAGCAGACACAUUCUUUGCAGAUGGUACGUGUUUUAUGUGACACCUCACAUAUUUUAUCAGCUGUACACCAUCCAUGCUGUUUCAGGAUGGCACAACAGGGUGAAGAAGUUGGUGUGCAAGGCCCACCCCAACAUUUAUGAACUGAUCCAAGCUGAUUGUAGUCCACUUUUCCAUCAUAGGGGU